GUAGGUCUGGUUUGGGACAAGGGAGUUGACAUUUUUACAAGGUCCCAGAUGAUGCUGAUGUGGGUGGUUCCUGGACUACCUUCUGAGUAGCGC
ensembl:miRNA predicted gene, 44319